rnacentral:lncRNA from 1 species
UCGGGCCCUCACCGGGACCGCAGCCCCCAGCUCUCAGCCCCUACUAACUAGUGUCAGUUCUCGCUCCCCCUCCGGCCAGCUCUCCCUCUGGGACACCGGCGUCCGGCUGUGCUAGUCCUUGCAUCUCUUUCUUUUCCCUGAUCUCUCCCUCCCCGUCCUUGGCCCGAAACCCCUUGGAUCUUCUGACGGCACCUCUAGAAAGCCACCCCCCACCCUUGAAGCCGCAGUGUCUGGGGCUCCCGGCUCCCUGACCCCUGGGACCCUGCUCUUUCAAAACCUCUCCCUGUCCCCCCACUCCUCAAGGGCCCGGAUGUCCUGAGCUGCCAGUAACAAGCACUUAUUAAGUCCCUACAGCGGAGCAGGCAUUGGGCUCCAAGUUAGGUAUCAGUCAUUGGGAUCCCAAUCCCAGCGUCCCGGGCUCCCACUUCCUCAGCCCUUUGGCACCCGUCCCCAGGCCCUGGAAUCGCAGUCUGGCCGAGCAGGGGGUCCUCCUCCCACAGCCCCAUUUCAGUGUGGAGGAAGCCGGAGGAAUGAAAGGAACUCGCCAAGUGAUGUUUGUCAUCAGGACGCCAGCAUCUGAGCCUCUCAGCCUCCGACCUCGGGACUCCACCUCUGCCUCCUCUCAUUUCCACGGUCCAACUUGGAACAGGUGAACAGC